UUGGCAGCUUAGAUAACCGCUCCCGGCUAAGUCUAGCGCAGGGGGAGGAACUUCCGGACUCCAUAGGGCAAUGCGCCAUCCGAAAGGGUGGAACAAUGGGCUAAAAACCCGUUGGAUGGAAAGUGCCGCAGAAAACAAACCGCCCGCAAGGGUAAGGGUGAAAAGGUGCGGUAAGAGCGCACCGCGCGCGAGGUAACAAGCGCGGCAAGGUAAACCCCGCAUGGAGCAAGGCCAAGCCGGUUCAUAGGUGCCCGCCUUCGUAACCAAGUAGGCCGCUUAGAGUAAUGGUUAUCCGCGACAGAAUCCGGGGUAUUAGCUGCCACCUAU
rnacentral:RNase_P_RNA from 1 species